rnacentral:rRNA from 1 species
GCCUACGGGAGGCAGCAGUGGGGAAUAUUGGACAAUGGGGGAAACCCUGAUCCAGCCAUGCCGCGUGGGUGAUGAAGGCCUGGUUGUAAGCCUUUGGUCGGGGACGGAUAAUGACGGUACCUGAAGAAGAAGCUGCGGCUAACUACGUGCCAGCAGCCGCGGUC